rfam:Camelus ferus unplaced genomic scaffold scaffold884, whole genome shotgun sequence.
GCGGGUAUAGCUCAGUGGCAGAGCACGUACUUAGCGUGCCUGAGGUCCUGGAUUCAAUCCCCAGUACCUCCG